UGGCUCAGGACGAACGCUGGCGGCGUGCUUAACACAUGCAAGUCGAACGAAGCUUGAUGAUUGAUCCUUCGGGAUGAUUCUGAUAUGACUGAGUGGCGGACGGGUGAGUAACGCGUGAGGAACCUGCCUUUCAGAGGGGGACAACAUUUGGAAACGAAUGCUAAUACCGCAUAACAUUACCGAGUGGCAUCGCUUGGUAAUCAAAGAUUUAUCGCUGAAAGAUGGCCUCGCGUCCAAUUAGCUUGUUGGUGAGGUAACGGCCCACCAAGGCGAUGAUUGGUAGCCGGACUGAGAGGUUGAACGGCCACAUUGGGACUGAGACACGGCCCAGACUCCUACGGGAGGCAGCAGUGGGGAAUAUUGCACAAUGGGCGCAAGCCUGAUGCAGCAACGCCGCGUGGAGGAAGACGGUUUUCGGAUUGUAAACUCCUGUUCUUAGUGACGAAUCAUGACGGUAGCUAAGGAGCAAGCCACGGCUAACUACGUGCCAGCAGCGGC
rnacentral:rRNA from 1 species